rnacentral:rRNA from 1 species
UGGGGAAUAUUGCACAAUGGGCGAAAGCCUGAUGCAGCAACGCCGCGUGAGUGAUGAAGGCCUUCGGGUCGUAAAACUCUGUCCUCAAGGAAGAUAAUGACGGUACUUGAGGAGGAAGCCCCGGCUAACUACGUGCCAGCAGCCGCGGUAAUACGUAGGGGGCUAGCGUUAUCCGGAUUUACUGGGCGUAAAGGGUGCGUAGGCGGUCUUUCAAGUCAGGAGUGAAAGGCUACGGCUCAACCGUAGUAAGCUCUUGAAACUGGGAGACUUGAGUGCAGGAGAGGAGAGUGGAAUUCCUAGUGUAGCGGUGAAAUGCGUAGAUAUUAGGAGGAACACCAGUUGCGAAGGCGGCUCUCUGGACUGUAACUGACGCUGAGGCACGAAAGCGUGGGGAGCAAACAG